UUUUUAUUGAACGAUGACCGUCACGUGUUUGAUUGGAUGUCAACUUCAUGAAAAAUGAAAUACAUUAUUAUUUUUAUUGAUCAAUCAAAACAUGACAUGUGAUAGUCGUUAUUA
rfam:Glycine max cultivar Williams 82 chromosome 14, whole genome shotgun sequence.